CUGACUUCUCAAGCUCUGGGGAUGCCUCAGUGAUCUCUGAUGUGGAAUUAGUGGAGGCUGGCCGUUGCUCACCUCUACACAGCCUGCUGGUCGUUAGCGAGCAGGAGUUCUGAUGUUCCUCUCAUCUUGGAUGACCAUAAACACCAUGAGAUCAGAGCAUCCAUCUGUAGACUCACAGAGCAAGAAGCGUGACUGCCCCAAUCUUGAAUGGAUGAUCAGCUGCCGGGUCCACCACUUCUUAACUUCAGAACCGCAGGAAGCCGCGUCAGUCAUGGGGUUCAUUUUGCACACGACAGAUUUCAUGGUUGUCCUUCCUCCAAACCGAGGAACCUAGAUCUUCUCUGAUCUCUGAAAAAUAAGUUCCUGGAUAUGAAAGGGGAUACUUUCCUUGGUGGUAGUCCCAGUGAAGACCCACUGAACAUCGUCAGCCUCAAAAUAGAAGAAGCUCAUAGAAGAAAAUUCUCUUACUGAAUCAGUAAAAUAUGGAAAAUAAUGGGACUGUUUAUUAAAGGAUUGAAUGAGAGAACACAAGUAAUGCACUUAGAAGAGUGACUGGCAUACAGUGAGUACUACGUAAGUGUUUGUUGUUGUUGUUUGUUAUUGUAUGGAGGUAAAGCAGCUUGCCUAAAGCCAGUGACCGGCUCAGCUGCAAAGUGUGCUGAGAGAAAUCGGGGGCCUGUCCCUUUUUUGAGAACUUCGUGGCAUUUUCUGAAUGAUUGCAUCUGCCCACUCCCUCUUCAGUUGAAUACUUUUGCCCAUGUUUGAGCAUGCCUUGAGGCACACAGAAAGCCCUUGGAAAUUUCUCCCUCUUGCUGAAUCUUGUCUUUUUCAUAGGUGCUGGCUUCUCAACCAUGAUAGCCUGAAAUGUACCCGGAAAAUGGGGGCUAAUGUAAGUCAUAUUUAGAGAAGUUAUUUUGGGGGACAAUGUUUUUGACAAGACUACAUUUUUCAUUAUGUUGCUGUCUGUAAACAACUGUAGAUGCAGACUUGCAUUUUGAAAGGCAAGACCCAAAACACACAAACAGAGUAAAUACCUUUAAAAUGCCUCGAUCGCUGGAGAAAUGCCUGGAUGGACCUACCUGAGGGCAGACGCCACUGCCCAAAUUUCCUCUGGGGUUUCCCUGCGUCGGCUGCAUCUUGCCGACUUCCUCCUCGAUCCGACAGCGUGGGGCUCAGGAGCUGCUGCUGGCUGCUUGUCUGCAUGGGAGGAGAAGCACACAGUUACCGUCUUUUUAACCCUGCGCUCUCCUCCUUUUACUAUAAGAAAGGAAAACACAUGGCAGGAGGACAAGUGGGAAGAACAACAUGGACUCAGAGUGUCCACAAUGGGGAAAAGUGAAAAUGGGUAUAAAGGGUCACAGAAGAAAAAGAGCCACCACUGCACGCCCUGCUGAAGGAGACACCACUCUUCCUGGGACAUCUUGUCCUGGGUAACCCCCACUGCUUCGUUCCCCUCCAUGCCUGAGAAUGUCAUUGUUUCCCUUCAUAUCUUCGCUGGCAAACCAGGGGGUAAGGAAGGGGAACUGCAGGAAGGAAGGUGGGGCAGUGGGGACGGGCUGGGCGGGGGCAGUCUACUGUCACCAGCCUGGAGAUCCACACUUAGAGCUUCAGGGAAAGAGUUCUCUGCAGGCAAAGCUGUAUGAUGGGCCCUGGUGGAGGAUGGAGCUGAUAACAAUCUAAGCUACAGUGAAAGAAAGAGAGAUGCCAAGACUUCCCACACAUUUCACCUGUUCUCAGGUUCACCUGUCACCUCUCCCUUUCCUAACAAAAGCCUUGGUCUUCACAUCUCUUUAGUAUCCUUUUUUUUUUUUUUUUGUCACCUCUUUCUUUCUUAGGCUUUUUCAUCUAAAAACAGAGGGCUCUGAAAUCAUCACUUUCCCCAACCUCAUUAGCCCUGUCUCACUGUCUGUCCUGACUUCAGCCUGCCUCCCUCUCCCAUGCGAGACAUUGCCAACCAUCUUCAGGGUGACCAGUGGCAAGGCCACUGCAGAUGCCUCCCCUUGCCCCUUGGUUGACUAACUCCGCAGAAGUCCCUGCAGUCGGUGGCAGAUGAUUUCUAAAGGCUGGGGAGCCCAAAACAUGAGAUCUACUGAAAACUGAGCUAUGGCACCAGUGGGCCUCCUGGAGCACCCUGCUGGGCCGUGGAGCCUUAGGCUUCCAAAGGUACUCUGGCCCCUGGCUGCGUUGCUGCACACCAUGGAGCCUGGUGCUGCUGGGGGCUCUGCACAGAGCACGGGAUCAGCUCCACGUUGUUAACCUCAAAUCGUAAUUGCUGCCUCAUAAAGGGGCAGGUCCUCCCAGCCAGCUGCUUCUCACAGCACAGGACUCUCCAGGACGCUGAUAACUCCUUGUACUUUUUUAUAUAGACACAUACAUAGAGUUUGAAAAUGAAAAUAUGCUGUGACUUAAUAAAUAGAAACUCCUCAAGCCAAUUGUCCUGAAUUCCAUAUGUUCUUCUGAUACCCAACCAGGAAAGGAUAUAUCUUCAAUGAGUCUGAUUAUUUAAGGAGGUUGAAAGCUAAUUACAAACAUUUUCACUGAUUUUACUGCAAAUUUCUAUGACUUUAGAGAAGGGAGGAAAAUAUUUAGGGCAGAGCUUCCUGUAAACCAUACUCCAUGUAAUAUACCCAGAUUCAAAUGCAGCCCUUAGAGCUGAUGUUAACUCUUUAGACAAAAAUAAAACUACAGAAUUAUGAAGUUCAGGGCAUUCACUUUUUUUGGCAUUCAUAUGAGUCAGACUCUUUUUAAAUAACCUCAACUGCAUCCAAGAUGGCAAAGGCACUUCUUGAGCCACAUGCGGAUGGUCUGCUUGGCCACCUCCUCCUCUAUGGUGUACUCCAGCUGCUCCCUCGCCAGGAGUUCCUCCAGCUGCAAGCUCUUCCGGAUGUCCACGGACCGGUAUGAAAGCAUGCUGGUGGGAGAAACACACCUGCAAUCGCAGCUCUGAUUCACCUGAGAUUUACACCCUUAGAUACGUCAAAAUCCAGAGAGGACAUCACUCAGUCUAAUAAGUCUAGUGUUUUGACGCCACCCCUCGCCACCCGCAUGUCUUGGGCUGGUCCUGUCACCUCUCUGUGUCUCCCUUCCCUCGUCUGUAAAACAAAGAUGAUAGAUAGUCCUGGUAACUCCUUUAUUUAAUGACUAAGUGAGUUAAUAUCUGUGAGGCUCUUAUAGUAGUAAGUGCCAUCUAAGUGCCUGUAAAGCAAAAGAUCCAGGCUAGGAAAAGGCUCGCGACUUUCUCUGCAGAAGGAAGACCGCACCUCCCAUACUUUCUUCACACUUAGCCCCCCGAGGUGAUGGUUAAUAUGCUCGGCUGUGCGUCACACAUCCCUACUCCCUGCAUCCCACUUCCCUCUCUGUUUCUCUCAUUCAUCCUUCUGUAUCUUCCUUAUUAAUUAAUUUUUUCUUUUUUUGAGAUGGAGCUUCACUCUUGUUGACCAGGCUGGAGUGUAAUGGCGUGCUGUCAGCUCACUGCAACCUCCGCCUCCUGGGUUCAAGCAUUUCUUCUGCCUCAGCCUCCCAAGUAGCUGGGAUUACAGCUUCUGGCCACAAGCAUAUUUCUGUACACCUGAGUUCUCCUGAAAUUUGAGACACAACACAAUAUCCCACACACUCCUUGUAGGUACUGCUAUGUGAUUAAAAUAGCUACUGCUAGUCAGUCGCUCUUAUUUUUUUCUGUGGCAUGGACCCCUGUGGCAGUGGAGCUUAUGGGACAUUUCUUGAAAUAAUGCUUUAAAUGCACGGAAUGAAAUACACCGUAUUACAAAGGAAACCAAUUAUAUUAAAAUACAAUUCUCAAAUUUACUUUAAAACGGCAGUGAUAAAGUAACAUAAGUAAGUGCUUCCUUUAUUAUUCCAUUAAAUAAUACCAUCUAGCAGAGCUCAAAUGACUACCAUAACUCAGAAGCACUGGUGAGCAUAAAUGAUAUUUUAAGAUGUCAGUCAAGGCAGUCAGUUAUGUCAUCUGAAAAUAUCUAUGAUUUCUCCUGGUAACAAAGACAUGGAUAUUGCUAAUGCGACUGUGGUUUGUUGCCUACGUUCAUCAUGGAAGAGAAUGACACAUUUCAAAGAGUGAUUAGUGAAAAUAAAGAUGUAAUUGUUUCCCCCUUGCAAGUCCAUGGGCCUCUGUUUUAUCCAUGGACUCCUGCUUAAGAAGCUGUUAUGGGUUAAAUGUUUCCUCCCAAAAAAAGAUAUGUUGGAGUCCUAACCUCUAGUACCUCAGAACGUAAGGUUAUUUGGAAAUAGAACAUUGCAGAUGUAAUUAGUAAUUAAGUUAAAAUGAGAUCACAGUGGAGUAGAAUGGACUCCUAAUGUAAUACGACAGAUGUUCUUAUAAAAGGAGGAAUUUGAACAUAGAUACACACACACACACACACACACACACAAACAGAAUGCCAUGUGAAGAUGAAGGGAGACCAAGCUGAUGCUUCUACAAGCCAAGGAAUGACCAACAUUGGCAGCGCACCUCCAGCAGCCAGGGGAGAGGCUAGGCUAGAUUCUCCCUCACAGGCCUCAGAAGGAAUCAGCCCCGCAAUACCUCCAUCUCGGGCUUCCAGCAUCCAGGACUUCGAGACCAUACCUUUCUGUUGUUUAAAUCCCUCAGCUUAAGGUGCUAAGUUACAGUAGCCCAAGGAAACAAAUACAGAAGUCUCCCAGGAAGAAGAAAAGGCAGAGACUCCAUUUGACCCUCUGUCCUGUCUGGGCGCUCAUGAAAUGUCUGGAAAAUCUGGUGUUUUAGCCAACGGGGCAACCAUCACAGAGCAGGCCAGGCAAAUUCUCAUCAGACCCAUGCAAGUGAGGUGCUCUGCAUGUUAGUCCCAGCUUUGCCAGAGCCCUGUAACCGCAAGCAAGUCACUCAGCUCUUCUGGGCAGUUCCCGCAUCACAGGGAAGGGGUGGGACUGUGCUCUCCCAGAUCCCUUCCACCUCUCCCCUCGGGGUGCACCUCAGUGGGCAGGGGUCCCUACGGGACAUCAGGGCACAGCCGCCCAGCCCUCCCCUGCGAGGCACCUACUUGGAAAUGUUCACUGGAGGACGGCAGGAAAGGGCACUUAGCGCCUGGGACAUGUGACCCCACUUCACGACCACAGCAGAUGUGGCAUUUUGGGUUGGAAACACACUUGUUAAUUGUACUGCAGAGGCCUUGAAGGCUGACAGCUGUGGUUUCUGGCCCCCAUUCAGCCCUGCGAAAGCCUGCCUUGUACCUCAGGACAUCAUGGAAGGUGACGUCGCCGCCAUUGUGGAGCCUCUCCAUUUCGUAGCACAUGUGCUUAAACAGGAGCUUGUCCUUGUCCAGGUCCACCUCCAGCCUCCCACGCAGUAGCCGCAGCAGGAACUUGACGCGGAACGUGGGGAUCACCCCCUGCGGGGCAGAGCACAAGAAGUAGCAAAUCAUCAGGCCUCGAUGAUUCACUUGGGUUUCUCAAAAGAAAAAAAAAAAGGUGCUAUUUCUCAAAAGCUAGCAUAAUUAGCACCAGAUGUGAAGAAAGCUGGUCACCUCCUUGGAGCCUGGUAGAAUUAAGUGCACUAAGAAGAGCAGAGGAUAGAAAACUGAGUGAUAAAUUUCUGCUGGUGCUUCUCUUUCUGGGAUGUCACCACAUUGCAGCAUUUGGAGUGAGGCAUGGGAAGCUCCCCUUCAGCCCCCCAGGACCCUACUCUUGCUCUCACCAGGCUGAUGCUUGCAUAGCCUGUCCCACAGACGCCACCUCCAACACAUGCACUGAGUGGGCCAUAAUGUACUCACACAAGGUAAUGGACAAGACACACACGUGUAAUCCUCCUCUUCACUCAAUCGGGAUGCUAGGAACGUCUCAAUGUUUAUUACAUGUUUUUCUACCAUUAAAAGAUAACUCGUGUUGGAUCAUGCCUGUAAUCUCAGCACUUUGGGAGGC
rnacentral:lncRNA from 1 species